CGGGUGAGUAACGCGUGAGGAACCUGCCUCAAAGAGGGGGACAACAGUUGGAAACGACUGCUAAUACCGCAUAAGCCCACGGCUCGGCAUCGAGCAGAGGGAAAAGGAGCAAUCCGCUUUGAGAUGGCCUCACGUCCGAUUAGCUAGUUGGUGAGGUAAUGGCCCACCAAGGCGACGAUCGGUAGCCGGACUGAGAGGUUGAACGGCCACAUUGGGACUGAGACACGGCCCAG
rnacentral:rRNA from 1 species